CAAAAGAGUGAAAACUCCAACCCGUGUGAACCAUACCGACGUUUGUGCUGUCCUGUUGCUUUCGGCCGGCGGCUCUUUAGAGCCCGCAAGGUCCUUGGCGCUUCGGCGCGAGGGGCACCGGCCGGGGGUGGCAGCUCGGCAGUUUGUUUUAAACGCUUGCCUGAUAUUGUGGCUCGUCUGAGCAAAAAGAAAAGACAAAAUAGUCA
rnacentral:misc_RNA from 1 species